UGGGAGUUAGAGGAUGCGGUCAUGGUUGGUCUGCACACGUGUGGAGACCUGGCGCCCAGCACCCUGCGCAUGUUUGUGGCCAAACGGGAGCUCCUCUCCGUCUGCAGCGUUGGCUGCUGCUACCACCUUCUCUCUGAGGAGUUUGAUCCCACCAGACAAGAGUGUCCAAGCAGCAGUGUGUGUGGUUUCCCCU